rnacentral:rRNA from 1 species
CUACGGGAGGCUGCAGUGGGGAAUAUUGGACAAUGGGCGAAAGCCUGAUCCAGCCAUGCCGCGUGUGUGAAGAAGGCCUUCGGGUUGUAAAGCACUUUCAGUGGGGAAGAAAGCCUUGGGGCUAAUACCCUCGAGGAAGGACAUCACCCACAGAAGAAGCACCGGCUAACUCCGUGCCAGCAGCCGCGGUAAUACGGAGGGUGCGAGCGUUAAUCGGAAUUACUGGGCGUAAAGCGCGCGUAGGCGGUCUGAUAAGCCGGUUGUGAAAGCCCCGGGCUCAACCUGGGAACGGCAUCCGGAACUGUCAGGCUAGAGUGCAGGAGAGGAAGGUAGAAUUCCCGGUGUAGCGGUGAAAUGCGUAGAGUUCGGGAGGAAUACCAGUGGCGAAGGCGGCCUUCUGGACUGACACUGACGCUGAGGUGCGAAAGCGUGGGUAGCAAACAGGAUUAGAUACCCUUGUAGUC